UCUAGAUGCAGCCAUACGAUUUUUUGUUUGUUUGUUUGUUCAUUUUUUUGACCAACAGGAUGUUAACAGAUGUGAUGAAAGCCUGGGCUUCAACAAGCACUUGGGUAUUUCCAUUUCUUCUCUUGCUCCUGUGCUUGGUCAUGAGAAUGGAGUAGGUCUGCUUAUUGGUGGACAGACUAAGAGGGGCAGAGCUAAGUCAUCCCAGAUGCUCUAUGUGAGGUGAUCUCAGCCAGUGGACCCCAAGCAAGCUUCAAAUAUGAGGGAGCCCAGAUAAGCCUUUACUGAAUCAGUGACACAAAGGAGAUUUGAACUAAGUAACUGCUUGUUAUCUUGAGCCCCAGAAUUACGGGGAGACACGUGGUGCAAGUGGCUGGUUUGCUUCCUGAGAGAGCAAGUAUGAGGUUGCCUCCUGGAUUUCUGUUUCUGAUUCCACCAGAAGCCAGAAAGGGGUUCCUCACUUGGAAUUCAGCAGUGUUAAUCACCACAUUUGUUUCCUGUAUCAUGGGGCUGGCACAGAGCUUUAUGGAAGAAAGUCAUUUCACACAUUUUGUAUGCCUGCUCAGAGGGGAAGACUCUCAAGAAGAAACUCUUCACCUAGCCAAGAGAUUGGUUAAGCAUCCAGUGCCAUAGAUGUCUCAAUGUAUGCAUUCGAAAAUAGGAGCUCUGCAAAGUUGAAAGCUUUUAAUCAUGAGGGCUCAUGUUAUUGGUGUAGUCAAGUGGAGGAGAAAUGAGGAG
rnacentral:lncRNA from 1 species